GAGGUAAAUGAAAGUUGAGAACAAGAGAUAGCUAGAAAUGUAGAAAGAAGAAAGGACUCAGGGCGAAGGUGAAAAUAUAUUGGGGUUGUUAAAAGAAACGAAGGGAAAAGAAAAUACGGAAGAACGAAGGAAUUUCAACGGAGAUAAAGGCUGCGAGAGAACUGCAAGCAGUCAGGAAAACUGGGGCAGGGGCCGCAGGGCUGCUGGGUCACGUUGCCGGCGGAGCCUUUUGGGUAGUGCACGGCGGUUGCGCGCGGGCGUAUUUGGCUGUAACGCCCACCACAGGCUUUGUGGUUGUAUCGCUCUCGGCUUAAGACCCAAGAUGGCGGCGUCCGCUCCGUGCAAAAAUACGGCCUGCGUACCAGGUGUGGAAAGGCAGCCAAAGGACGAAUUUACUGAGGAAAGUGGUGAAACUGGACAGUUUUUGUGUGGUGAUACUCCAGAUGGGGACUUUUAAGCAUAUUAAUACUUAUCAUUUGUUCUGGAAACAUCUCAGAGCCCUCCCUCCAAGUCUUGAACCCGCGAAAACCAUGCUGGCGGUGGACUCUCACUAUUGGCUUCCGAAACAAGGAACUUGAAGGUAAAGGAUUCGCCAGAGCGGUAACAUAUCAUCCGACCUGGUGGUGGAAGUUUAACUGCGUGCAAAAUUCACAUCAGCUGCAGAUCUGUAAGUGCUCGAGUGAUU